UUUGGAAACCCCCUCAAAAUGUCAUACUGAAAUUGAUGACAAGCCGGAGAACAGAUUGACUUUAAAUACAUUUUUUACACAUUUCCCUUCUGUUUCUCGUGAAAUUAUCGUAUAUUGAGCUUUCCCUUACACUAGAUACGUUUCUUUUACAGUCCGGAAAAAUCAGUAUUACGAAAUAUUCUAAAUAUAUCUAACCUAGUGACGUCAUUGUUGGAAUGCCACACUACACAGGGAUAUCCUUUAUUCAUUAUAAAAAUCAUUCACAGUAUUUGUAUACUAAUUUAAAAUCCGUAUUUGUUAAAUGUAAACCUAAUGAUGUUUGAUAUAGUGUAGAUGAUUCACACACCAACAUGCAAUGCUUUAAUCUGAGGCUAUAAUCAGAUAAUUUGUAGGUCAACUUUCGCGGUAA
rnacentral:lncRNA from 1 species